CAUAGAGUUAACUUAAAAUUAGGUUGCCUAAAGCAAUUAAUUUGUCAAUAUUUUAAUAAUUAUCUACAUUAAUAUUUGUCUAGCAGUUCUAGCUAUGAUUAAUUAGAGACUUAGGAUUAAGUCAUUUCUGCCUUCAUUUCUUUGUGGAGAGCUUGGCCCAGCAAGAUCAGAUGGGGCAGAACACGGCCUGGUCCUGGAGCUGGUGUGUUAGCACAUUCUGAGGACUCUUCAGUUGCAGGUUUAUGUUUGAAUUAGGGCCACACUGUUUCCGUGGAAGUUGAAAAGCUUUGCCAAUACCUAGAAAAGCUGCAGAUGAGGCCUUUAAGUGGAUUAAAAAUCGUUAGUUAUGGAAAUGAAUUUAUUAACAGGAAAUAUUUUAGGUCAGAUACAUAAAACUUGGAGCAGCAGAUGAAAAGUGUAUGUUAGUUUAGUGAUUCUCUAUAGAAAAGUUAUUCUAAAUGUAAAAAAGAACCUGUGGGGGUUGCUGAGCCCUGCCACAUUACAGGGAGGCCUCAUGGCGGCCUGCAUCUCCCUCAGAGGGGAGAGGAAGGGCGGGCGCUGAGCUCUGCUCUCUGGGGACAGUGACAGGGCCAGAGGGAAUGGCAAGGAGCUGGGCCAGGGGAGGGCCAGGGUGGGUGUUAGGGAAAGGUUCUGCACCCAGAAGGUGAUCAGGCACUGGGACAGGCCGCCCAGGGCCGUGGUCACGGCACUGUGCCUGCUGGAGAUCAAGAAGUUUGGACAAUGCUGUCAGACAUGUUGUCUGCUGUCUGGGGGAUGCUUUGUGGAGCCAGGAGUUGAACUCGAUGACCUUGUGUGCUCCUUCCAACUUAGGAUAUUCUAUGUUUGUACAUUAUUGAUCGGACAGAAGCAUGACAGCACUUCAGGGGUCUGGCCCAAGCACGUGCCUUGGAUCAAUGCCACUUGGAACAGAGCUUAAAAAAAUGGAGAAUUGCCUGUCUGAGUGCGGGGCGGCCACUAAAGCAGAGGUGAGGUCUAGAUUACUGUGUACUUACAGUCAGCUCUGCCACCAGGAAGGAAUCUCAUUUCUAUGGAAAUUAAAACCAGGUCUUCAAUCCAGGAUUAAAGCAGAAAUAUAUCUUUGUUUCAAAGACCGCUACAGUAAAUUGUCUUUAUUUAAAGCUGUAUUUCCAACCUGUUAUGUUAAUUACAUUUUUGGUGGUGACACUAUGAAAGUGAAUUGUAUAGUCAAAAAAGAUUCCUCUAAUGUAUUUGAUUCACUAUCACAAUUUACUCUUGGGUAAUAAAAAUUAAUUCCUGCUAUCUUCUUCCCCCCUCCUUUGAUUACCAUUUUGCCUUUUUUUUUUUUGUCAAUAUGCCUGAGUUUUUUCUUUAUAUCCUGUCUGUAAAAUAAUUUGAGAGCAAUGCAUGUAUGCUUAUUUUGCUCAUUUGGAAAUUAUUCAAUUAUUUAUUCUCAACCUGACAUGAACCUGGGGGAGAGAGCUUGGAAAAAAAAGAACCUGUAAAUCCAACUAUUUUCACUAAACUUUAUAUUUGAGGAAGAAGGAAAGCUUAAACACUUAAGAAGAAUAAAAAAGUGCCCUUUAUUGCUGCCCA
ensembl:lncRNA